rnacentral:lncRNA from 1 species
ACUAAAGCCGUCGAAGCACAGUGCUAGCUCAGGCGCUGAUGCUCAUGUGUGAUGGUGUGUCAGCACAGACUGAGGAGGGGAGAGGACUCCAGGGAGAGAAGCCCCAAGGGUGUGCACGCACACACGCGUGUGGGCACACACACGGCUCAGGCCAGACCAGCGCAGGUCAUGAGGGGCUUGCAGCCAACAGGGGGAGCGCCGGUCCAGUGGAAGAGGGGGGUUACCACGUUGCCGGGAUCCCUGCGUGACGCACAAUCAGCUUUGAAACGACAGUGAAAAUGAGGCACAUUAGGCAGCCAUUAAGAAGCGUGAUGGGCGCCUGAGUCAGAGCAGCAUUUCAUAUGGGGCAGCGGCCCCCGUGGAUCUCUAAACAGCCUCGAGCCUUCAUCUCUCCCGAGGAAGAAAUGCUCAGCCUUGUUAUUUUUAUGCAUGUUCAGGGCCUUCAAAGGCACCGUCUCCUGGGCUCCAUGGGAGGAGAAGGGUCGGGUCAAGGUCACACAGCCUGUCGGUCAAGGGCAGACACAUGGAUGAGGUUUGCUUAGGAAAACCCAGGCCCCACCAGAGGCAGGUUCGGAAGCUGAAACCACAGGGCUCCUCAGCGCACGGCCCCGUCUGGGGUCCCUCACCUAGUUCCGGGUUCCUUUACUGAGAAAGCUCCGCCCGAAGGCCUGGAUUCUUCCUAUGACUGAUGAUUUGUUAUGAUGGCCUUGUUAUGCCAACGACAUCGACAGAGACCCAUUCUGUUCGACGCUCACAGGCUGUUUUUCAAGGGUUCUUCAUCUUCAAAACGCCACCGAAUCCUCCUGCUUCUGCCCGGGCCAGUGAGGGGCCCAGACCGCGCAGAGAGGGAGCGGCUCCGGGAGACCCUCAGCCUGCCGCCUGGUGGCCCAGGAGCCCACCCCCACCUGCACGCCUCCCGCGGAGCCCUGUCUCGCCCUCGAACCUGUCAGGGCUGAGGCGGGCUGGAAGUCACAGCUGCAGGCUCUGUUGCUUGGCCCUGACUCAGUUUCCACCCAGACGUC